AUAAUUUGGUUGAAGAAUGCAGUGUUGAAUCAUACAUUGAUUAGAGAUUUAUUUUAUAUUUUCUGUUUCUUCGUUCUCCCUUCUCACUCUUCUCCACGACUCAGCUGGCGACGACGACCAACCAACAAAAAAAAAGCCCUCGAUUGGUGUUUUUGGUUCCUCUCUAAAAGCCCCCCCCUCUCUCUUUCGAAAUUUCCUCGCCGCUGCCCUCUCCUUGAUGGUUCAAUUCGGGUUUGCUUAAAUCCUAUGACGAAGUGUUUGUUUUCUAAAAUUUGGUUUUGGAUGAGAAAAUGAUGAUAAACAAAGGGCAAGUGCUGGUGCUCAUACUCUUAAAUAUCAUUAUCAUAUACGUGUGGAGUCAGGGGCGGAGCCAAUUAAGGCUUAUAAGGGGUAACAAUGUAGUUCUUCUUCUAACAUUUUGCUAAGUUUGUUCAGCUCUAAACCCUUCUCGCCUUUUAAUUAUUGAAUUCCUUACUAAUGUUGUUUUGGCUUUUAGUUAAAUUAGGUCAAGAAAAGUUCUAUACUUAAUUACUUUUGGAAUGAUAAUUAUCAGUCUACUACAUAGAUAUAUUGAAUUUAUUAUAAACAGUUAUGAAAAAUAGUGAAACACCAAAAUGAAAAACAACAGAGAUAAUGCACAAGUAAAAUGAAUAAGGGAUUAUACCUUAGUAUUUAAGCUAUAUAAUGUUUAUGGAUGUGUACCUUACCUUAUUGUGUAAAAUAAAAUAUCGUUGUGUAACAAAAUGGAUCUUAUACUCAUGUAAAAUUUGGAUCUACUUCAAAUUUGUCAUUAAAUAUAAUUUGGUUUUUGUUAAAUUUUUCAUCAUUUUGUAUAUUUUUCCUGUAACUUUCUGGGUUUUGGAGAAAUUUUCGUUAAAUUUCUUGGUGUUUUUUUUGUGACUUUAUCUGAACUUUGUAGAUUUUUUAUAUGUUUUGUACAAUUCUUAGAUUAAAUUUCUGAUUUUGUAAAUGAUUGGCCAAAUUCGAAUUUGAAAAACAAUAUAUUACGCCUGUGAUUUGUUGUUUAUGUGGUAAAAAAUAGGAUGUCUUUAUACUCACGAAGAAGGGUGGAGGAAUUUUGAGAUUAGGGUAAUAAACUGAAGUCUAUUUCAUCUGGGGACUUCCUUUGUACCAAGUAUUCAUAUUUGGUAAUAUCCAUUUGAUUUGGGGACUUCCUUUUCUCAGAAAGAAUCAUAUUUUAUUUUAUUACUUACAAAAAAGAUUCAUAUAAAGUUGAA